rnacentral:rRNA from 1 species
AUGGUCCUCGUUCGCUACGGCGUCACUCACCUCAUCGAGCACCCCCCGCCACCCAACGCCGAUGCUGCCUAUCUUGAGCUUGAUGCCCAUGUUGCCCUCUGGAUCUACGCCACUCUCUCUGACGCCAUGGUGGAUCAUGUCGUCGGCGCCACCACCACGUUUGCCAUCUGGAAGAAGAUCCACGAUUAUUUUCUCUCGAACCGCGCCGCCCGGUUCAUGAUCCUCAACAGGCAAUAUCGCAACCUCAAGGAGGGCGACCUCUCUGUCCAGGAGUACGCUCGCCGCAUGAAACUCCUCACCGAUGGUCUCGCCGACAUCGAGCACGCCGUCACCGAGGUCGACCUCACCACGCAAUUCCUCCACGGCCUCGAUAAACGCCUCGACACCAUCCGCGUGGUCCUCGGUGAU